AAUUGCCUUUUCAUAUUGUAAGUUAAUAUUUUUUCUUAUCAAUAAAGGGAUAUUUUAUUAAAAUAGACUAUAAUUUCAAGUGCUCUGAUGCAGUAGAAAAUGUAAAACCUCCCAGUAUUUGAGCAAGAUCCUAAAGUUUGAUCUGUGAACAUUAAAAUGAGUGUUUGAGUACACGAAUAUGCACAUAUAUUUUUAUGAAAUUAUGGAAGGUAGAGAUUCUAUUUUAUAUACUAAUUUUAGAGUGAGGAUUCAAACUGUGGCAUUAUCAACCUCUUAACUAACUCCAUACUACAAUUUGUCUCCUAAAAUGGGGAUGGUAGUAAUAGUUACCGGUAGGGUUGUGGCAUGCAAUAAUUCAGUGGAUAGAUGUUAUAACUUGUGUUUAGAUGUCCCCUCUAAAGCCUCAUGUGGUUGUAGGUGGGGCUUUUUCGGAAGUGGCUGGAUCUACAGUGUGUGACCUUGGAAUUGAUUUUGGUACAAUGCUAGGAUCAAGGGCACUAGGAUUAAGGGUGUGAGUGUUACGUGUCCUAAGGGCAAGUAGCCUGGCUAAGAUAUAAGAGACAAAAAGAGCUGUGGCCCUCCCUUGUUGUUUUUGCUACUUUCUGCCCACCAAGAACUAUCUCUUCUCUGUGAUGCCUGUUUCCCAUGUCAACUUGCCUGGAGGCUGAUUAUGGACUGAAACCUCUACAAACUGUGUGCUAAAUAAACCUUUUCUCCUUUCACUUUGGGUGUCAGGUAUUUUGUCCCAGCAAUGAGAAAAGCAGCUAAGACAAUAGAGGAACUGAAAUAGUGCUGGAACCCAGUAACAUUCGAAACAGGACAUCUGUUUCAUCAUAAACUUUGGAAGUAUAAAUCUAAAAGACCUGAACAUGCCCAUGGGAUCAUGAUGAACAAGAAUUUUCUAAAAGCAUGCCCCCACAUUCUUACUUCUACAAGCAUUUUGCUGAAGCACUGACUCCAGGCUAUUACCCUGUGAAAGUGAAAUUUUAAAAGAGCCAGUCUCAAGCAAAUCUGCACCAAUCCCCAGUUGGCUUGUUUUCCCCUUCACUAAUGAAACCCAGGAGGGUCCUGACAGGAGGUGUGACAAUUUGAGAGGCAGAGUGAAGAUCACAGAGGUUUUAUGAAUCAGCAAUGUGGAGCCUUGGGUGAAGUGAGGCUUCAGUCAGGUGUGGACUGAGAGCUACAGUCAUUUGGAGGCUUGACAGAAGCAAGAGAUCAGUCAGGAUGUCCUAUUCAUGAGCCUCUUGAGUAACCCUGACACAAUGCAUGGACAGACCACAUAAAGGCAUAAAUGCCAAGAGGUGGGAAUCAUUGGUGGCCAUCUUGGAAGACUGCUACCCCAGUGGCCUGAAGCUGAUUAGAGAGGAAUUGAAUGUUUGCAACACAAUGAAUGACAAGUGUUUUGAGGUGAUGGAUGUCAUACUGUGCCCUGUAAGUAUGGAAAACUAUUAUGCAUAAGUUAAAAAUAAAAGUAUUUUAGAAAUAAGUAAAAUGGGAAUUAUUUUGAUUAAUAAAUUACAUUACAAAUGUUAAUAAUAAAGACAAUAUUCUGGAAAAUAAAUGCUAAGUCAGGGAUUAACAAAACUUAUACUUAGCUUCCCAGUUGAUAUCUCUAUCUCCCUGUCUAUCUAUCUGUAUCUAUCUAGCAUGCA